rnacentral:lncRNA from 1 species
AUACCUCAGCCUGCAGAAACUCCACAAAGGAGUGUAGUAGGGGGCUGGGUGUGAACUGAAAUGUGAUGGGGAAGGAGAGUGAAGAUGGGGGUGGGCUGGUAAAGUGAAGGAAGCUUCCAUUCUGUCUAAGCUUGUUAAUACUCUAUGCAUAGGGGAGUAUUUAUUUACCAUGUCUGUUUUGUGCGUGUGUCUAUCAUACUGAUAUAAGGAUAGAGAGGAAGUUUAAUAUCAGAUACAUACAUACCAGUGUGAAGCUCCACUUAAAAAAUAAUUUAAAAAAAUAGAAUUCAUGGGACCUAAAAAACUAAUUUUUUGCGGGUACACAGGACAUUAUCAUUUGCACCAGAAUCCCAGACAUUUACCCCCGUUAAUUCUGAAUAUUUUACUUUUCAUCUGUUUUUGCCUUACUGUGGAUGGCAGUGGUGCGUCCAGCUCAACUACAAUUUAAGGGGUUUGACCUCAUAUGAUAAUGUAUCUUACUCUAAAAAUACCACAAGAACAUAUGCAACUCACAUUAAUAAUAAUAGCUUCAUUCUUGGCAGUACUCCAACAAAAAAAAACAUUGACGAAAUGCAAAAGUUUUACAAAGCAACUCAUUCUCAACAUGAGGCUAUCAGCAGUGCUAUGUCUGAUCUGGUCAUUGGCCAUCAGGGUCUUAGCAGUGCCUGCCUCCAGUGCUCCCCUGCAGUGCAUGACAUCAUACUACAUCCUCUUUGCACACUAAUGUCUCACACACUUUUGUUCAAUUAGAUUUUUUGUAAAUGUAACGCUUCAUCCUGAGCUAGUGGUUUGUUAAUACUGAAAUCCGUUAUUUUAAAAAUAUUUUGUUUAAUCAGCAUUUGAGACUCUGAUUUUGAGAUUUGCAUUUGAGAUUUGUCAGGCAAUGGUUUCACAAGUAGAUCCAUCAACUUCUCUGAUUAGAAGGAAGAAAGUCUCAGUUUAAGUGUCCUUGGUCUGACAGUAAAAGGUGUUAAUCUCCAGGCCCACGUGACAUGGGUCACACUAAAUAACAGUGACUUUAGAGACACAUGGUCCCAAAAACAUUCAGUUCUUCUCCUCUUAGAGCUCAGCCUCACACAUACAGCUCAGGAACAGAGUCACACAUGUAACAACCAGAUAUACUUCAAGAAGUCCUUUGCUUAAAGCAGCAAUAGGGAGUUAUGUUCCAAAACAACCUAAAAUGGAGGCAAAAACCUAGCAAACACUACCAACAACCCAGUUGACACCGAUAGAAGCUUGCCAACACACUAACUGGUGUCUUUUGGCAGUAUAGCUAACAAUGUCAUGCUCUGAAAGCUUUUCUUCCAAUUUUGCAGGGUUUCUAGCCCGGUAUACAGACCUACACAGGGCUUAUCCUGGAUGGCUAAUGGGAAAGACACAGGUGUUUAUCUGUCCUUCACAUGACCAUAUGCUAUCAACAUUAAUUUGAGGAUGGUACCAAAACUAGUUGCCUAUAAAGCCAUACCUCAAAAAGUGUCAAAUUGUUGCAUAAUGUUACUUUAACUUUCAUUCUAACUCUAAGAUCCACAAGGGCAUGAACUACAUAUGAAUCAUAAGGGAUUGUUUUCAUUCCACCACACCUCUGGGGGGAACAUGGUCACACUUUAUUCUUCAAACCCUGGCACAAGUGUGACCUAUCAUUAGGGCCCAAACCCUGGCACAAGUUGUGACCUAUUAUUAGGGAGCAUCACUUCCACAGCCUCUCUCACUCUCUCUCUCUCUCU